GGGGUGGAGCAGCCUGGUAGCUCGUCGGGCUCAUAACCCGAAGGUCGUCGGUUCAAAUCCGGCC
rnacentral:tRNA from 1 species